rfam:Oleispira antarctica strain RB-8, complete genome sequence.
GCAUCCUACUGUUAAUAUGCACGGUGGAGAUGUUUGGCCGAUUUAACCGCAUAUUAUGGAGAUACUAUCAUGGCAUUAACUGUCGAAAAUAAAGCUGCAAUCGUUGCUGAAUAUCAACAAGCCGAA